ensembl:snRNA U1 U1 spliceosomal RNA
AUACUUACCUGGCAGGGGAGAUACUGUGAUCACAAAGGUGGUUUUCCCAGGGCGAGGCUUAUCCCUCGCACUCCAGAUGUGCUGACCCUUGUGAUUUCCCCAAUUGUGGGAAACUCGACUGCAUAAUUUAUAGUAGUGAGGGACUGCAUUCGUGUUCUCCCCUG